CCUACGGGAGGCAGCAGUGGGGAAUAUUGGGCAAUGGAGGGAAACUCUGACCCAGCGACGCCGCGUGCGGGAUGAAGGCCUUCGGGUUGUAAACCGCUUUCAGCAGGGAAGAAGCGAAAGUGACGGUACCUGCAGAAGAAGCACCGGCUAACUAUGUGCCAGCAGCCGCGGUAAUACAUAGGGUGCAAGCGUUGUCCGGAAUUAUUGGGCGUAAAGAGCUCGUAGGUGGUUCGUCACGUCGGAUGUGAAAAUCUGGGGCUUAACCCCAGACCUGCAUUCGAUACGGGCGAGCUUGAGUAUGGUAGGGGAGUCUGGAAUUCCUGGUGUAGCGGUGGAAUGCGCAGAUAUCAGGAGGAACACCAAUGGCGAAGGCAGGACUCUGGGCCAUUACUGACACUGAGGAGCGAAAGCGUGGGGAGCGAACAGGAUUAGAUACCCUGGUAGUCCACGCCGUAAACGGUGGGCACUAGUUGUGGGGACCUUCCACGGUCUCUGCGACGCNGCUACGCAUAAGUGCCCGCCGUCGGGAGGUACGAGUACGACGAAGAAGUUAAAACGUUAAAAGGUAAAGUUAGACGGCGUGAGACGUGACCGAACGGACGACGACGAGGGAGGUAGG
rnacentral:rRNA from 1 species